rnacentral:rRNA from 1 species
AACGAACGCUGGCGGCAUGCCUAACACAUGCAAGUCGAACGAGACCUUCGGGUCUAGUGGCGCACGGGCGCGUAACGCGUGGGAACCUGCCCUUAGGUUCGGAAUAACUCCCCGAAAGGGGUGCUAAUACCGGUUAAUGUCUUCGGACCAAAGAUUUAUCGCCUUUGGAUGGGCCCGCGUUGGAUUAGCUAGUUGGUAGGGUAAAAGCCUACCAAGGCGACGAUCCAUAGCUGGUCUGAGAGGAUGAUCAGCCACACUGGGACUGAGACACGGCCCAGACUCCUACGGGAGGCAGGAGUGGGGUGUAUUGGGCAAUGAGCGAAAGCCUGAUCCAGCAGUGCCGCGUGAGUGAUGAAGGCCUUAGGAUUGUAAAGCUCUUUUACACGGGAUGAUAAUGACAGUACCGGGAGAAUAAGCUCCGGCUAACUCCGUG